rnacentral:rRNA from 1 species
UACAGAGGGUGCAAGCGUUGUUCGGAAUUAUUGGGCGUAAAGGGCGCAUAGGCGGUGCAGUAAGUCUGUGGUGAAAACUCUGGGCUCAACUCAGAGCCUGCCGCGGAAACUGCUGUGCUCGAGUGUGGGAGAGGUGCGUGGAAUUCCCGGAGUAGCGGUGAAAUGCGUAGAUAUCGGGAGGAACACCUGUGGCGAAAGCGGCGCACUGGACCACAACUGACGCUGAGGCGCGAAAGCUAGGGGAGCAAACAGG